rnacentral:rRNA from 1 species
UUAAGCGACUAAGCGUACACGGUGGAUGCCCUGGCAGUCAGAGGCGAUGAAGGGCGUGCUAAUCUGCGAUAAGCGCCGGUAAGGUGAUAUGAACCGUUAUAACCGGCGAUACCCGAAUGGGGAAACCCAGUGUGAUUCGUCACACUAUCAUUAACUGAAUCCAUAGGUUAAUGAGGCGAACCGGGGGAACUGAAACAUCUAAGUACCCCGAGGAAAAGAAAUCAACCGAGAUUCCCCCAGUAGCGGCGAGCGAACGGGGAGGAGCCCAGAGCCUGAAUCAGCAUGUGUGUUAGUGGAAGCGUCUGGAAAGGUGCGCGAUACAGGGUGACAGCCCCGUACACAAAAGCGCAUGUGCUGUGAGCUCGAUGAGUAGGGCGGGACACGUGGUAUCCUGUCUGAAUAUGGGGGGACCAUCCUCCAAGGCUAAAUACUCCUGACUGACCGAUAGUGAACCAGUACCGUGAGGGAAAGGCGAAAAGAACCCCGGCGAGGGGAGUGAAAAAGAACCUGAAACCGUGUACGUACAAGCAGUGGGAGCACAGGUUUACCUGUGUGACUGCGUACCUUUUGUAUAAUGGGUCAGCGACUUAUAUUCUGUAGCAAGGUUAACCGUAUAGGGGAGCCGGAGGGAAACCGAGUCUUAACCGGGCGUUAAGUUGCAGGGUAUAGACCCGAAACCCGGUGAUCUAGCCAUGGGCAGGUUGAAGGUUGGGUAACACUAACUGGAGGACCGAACCGACUAAUGUUGAAAAAUUAGCGGAUGACCUGUGGCUGGGGGUGAAAGGCCAAUCAAACCGGGAGAUAGCUGGUUCUCCCCGAAAGCUAUUUAGGUAGCGCCUCGUGAAUUCAUCUCCGGGGGUAGAGCACUGUUUCGGCUAGGGGGCCAUCCCGGCUUACCAACCCGAUGCAAACUGCGAAUACCGGAGAAUGUUAUCACGGGAGACACACGGCGGGUGCUAACGUCCGUCGUGAAGAGGGAAACAACCCAGACCGCCAGCUAAGGUCCCAAAGUCAUGGUUAAGUGGGAAACGAUGUGGGAAGGCCCAGACAGCCAGGAUGUUGGCUUAGAAGCAGCCAUCAUUUAAAGAAAGCGUAAUAGCUCACUGGUCGAGUCGGCCUGCGCGGAAGAUGUAACGGGGCUAAACCAUGCACCGAAGCUGCGGCAGCGAACGUAUCACCCAAGACAACUUUACGGAGUUGACGAUUGACGGAGCGAAGCGACGUCAAAGCGUUCAUUAAAGUCGAGUUGGCUUAGGGAUACGUUCGUUGGGUAGGGGAGCGUUCUGUAAGCCUGUGAAGGUGUGUCGUGAGGCAUGCUGGAGGUAUCAGAAGUGCGAAUGCUGACAUAAGUAACGAUAAAGCGGGUGAAAAGCCCGCUCGCCGGAAGACCAAGGGUUCCUGUCCAACGUUAAUCGGGGCAGGGUGAGUCGACCCCUAAGGCGAGGCCGAAAGGCGUAGUCGAUGGGAAACGGGUUAAUAUUCCCGUACUUGGUGUUACUGCGAAGGGGGACGGAGAAGGCUAUGUUGGCCGGGCGACGGUUGUCCCGGUUUAAGCGUGUAGGUGUGUGUUCCAGGUAAAUCCGGUUCACUUUAACACUGAGGCGUGACGACGAGGCACUACGGUGCUGAAGCAACAAAUGCCCUGCUUCCAGGAAAAGCCUCUAAGCAUCAGGUAACACGAAAUCGUACCCCAAACCGACACAGGUGGUCAGGUAGAGAAUACCAAGGCGCUUGAGAGAACUCGGGUGAAGGAACUAGGCAAAAUGGUGCCGUAACUUCGGGAGAAGGCACGCUGACACGUAGGUGAAGUGAUUUACUCAUGGAGCUGAAGUCAGUCGAAGAUACCAGCUGGCUGCAACUGUUUAUUAAAAACACAGCACUGUGCAAACACGAAAGUGGACGUAUACGGUGUGACGCCUGCCCGGUGCCGGAAGGUUAAUUGAUGGGGUCAGCGUAAGCGAAGCUCCUGAUCGAAGCCCCGGUAAACGGCGGCCGUAACUAUAACGGUCCUAAGGUAGCGAAAUUCCUUGUCGGGUAAGUUCCGACCUGCACGAAUGGCGUAAUGAUGGCCAGGCUGUCUCCACCCGAGACUCAGUGAAAUUGAACUCGCUGUGAAGAUGCAGUGUACCCGCGGCAAGACGGAAAGACCCCGUGAACCUUUACUAUAGCUUUGACACUGAACAUUGAGCCUUGAUGUGUAGGAUAGGUGGGAGGCUUUGAAGUGUGGACGCCAGUCUGCAUGGAGCCGACCUUGAAAUACCACCCUUUAAUGUUUGAUGUUCUAACGUGGACCCGUAAUCCGGGUUGCGGACAGUGUCUGGUGGGUAGUUUGACUGGGGCGGUCUCCUCCUAAAGAGUAACGGAGGAGCACGAAGGUUGGCUAAUCCUGGUCGGACAUCAGGAGGUUAGUGCAAUGGCAUAAGCCAGCUUGACUGCGAGCGUGACGGCGCGAGCAGGUGCGAAAGCAGGUCAUAGUGAUCCGGUGGUUCUGAAUGGAAGGGCCAUCGCUCAACGGAUAAAAGGUACUCCGGGGAUAACAGGCUGAUACCGCCCAAGAGUUCAUAUCGACGGCGGUGUUUGGCACCUCGAUGUCGGCUCAUCACAUCCUGGGGCUGAAGUAGGUCCCAAGGGUAUGGCUGUUCGCCAUUUAAAGUGGUACGCGAGCUGGGUUUAGAACGUCGUGAGACAGUUCGGUCCCUAUCUGCCGUGGGCGCUGGAGAACUGAGGGGGGCUGCUCCUAGUACGAGAGGACCGGAGUGGACGCAUCACUGGUGUUCGGGUUGUCAUGCCAAUGGCACUGCCCGGUAGCUAAAUGCGGAAGAGAUAAGUGCUGAAAGCAUCUAAGCACGAAACUUGCCCCGAGAUGAGUUCUCCCUGAGACUUAGAGUCUCCUGAAGGAACGUUGAAGACGACGACGUUGAUAGGCCGGGUGUGUAAGCGCAGCGAUGCGUUGAGCUAACCGGUACUAAUGAACCGUGAGGCUUAACCUU